AAGCACUUGACAGUCAGACGCUUUCAAGGAUGCCGCCUACCAGCUCGCGCUAUACGUUGGUCGGUUUCUCCGAUGAGUUGGACUGGAGACCCGUACGUUUUGUCAAACCAGUUCCACAAAACCGAAUCUGUAGCACCUGCGGACUCGUGCGUAUUCUCACCGCUUUGCUUCCCUGUGGUCACGUGCUUUGCAAUUCGUGCUACGAGCACUGCGCUCUCGAUCGUGGACCCGUCUGCCCUUUAGACAGUAGCCCUUACCACGAGGAAGACGUUGAAUGGAGGAACUUCCCUGCCGAAAACAUCCUACAGAGGGAGGUAAAGUGCUGGAACGAAGAAACCGGAUGUGAGGCUGUGAUACCUGCUUCCGAGAUUGGCGAACAUUUUCGCAAGAAAUGCGGACAACAUUCAGUUUCUUGUCCCAAGUGCUCCGCGACAGUUUUGUGCCGAAAUGUGUGUGAACACAUAGCGUCGGACUGCAGCACAACAUUUUCGGCUACUCGGGAGGAAGAAAGGACGAAUGUAGCAGAACUCAAAGAAUCAUUCGACGAGGCUGUGGCUGGAAUAAGGACCGAGUUGCAACGAAUACUCGCUGAUAAUGACGCACAAAGGGAGAUGCUCCACGAUGUCAACCACGGAAUAAACUCUCUUGGAGAAGCAAUUAAAGACCAGUUCCCAGAGGCAGAUAGACGGAGCAAUGAGAAUUUUGUGGAAAAGAUUGACGUUGCUCGGGACGCUGCGGCGUCCUUGAAAUCUCGUUGUGCCACACUGAGCAGUCAAAUUGAGGAAAUAUUUCUCAGUGCCAACACUAAUAGAGAAACAUCAGGACAGGAAGCUGAAGGCAGUGCUGAAGAAGUACGUGGAAAGAUAACAGCAAAUACAGAGGAAAUAUCGAGGUUAACGUUACACCUGAAAGAAAGCACCCAAAAAGCACUGAAACACAUUGAAGAUGUGCUGCUGCAACUUUCCGUGAAUACCACAAAGUACCAUUUCAUCAUUAAUGGAGUGAACUCCCUGAAAGAAACAGCAAUGGAGAAAGGCUCGGCGUUGUUUGCCUUCAAGCGAUUAUGCUUCCGCGGUUACUUUAUGGUGCCGGGUGUGGAUUUCAGGAAACACGGUGACUCGGUCUCACUGCACAUAUUAAUUGACCUGAAGAAAGGCCCAUUCGAUGAGGGAAAUGCCUGGCCCUUCGCGUAUGACAUAAAGCUCAGCAUAGUCCAUCCAGUUUCGGGGCAAGCACGGACUCAUGAAUUUAAAGCCAGAAAUUCUACGUCGAAGCACCUAACAAAGCCAGAGGAGCCAAGUGAAGGACCAGCAUUUGUCAUGAAUGCGUCUUUUUACUUGAAAGACCUUGAGCGUGAUGGCUAUGUAAGGGAUAAUGAGUUGCACAUCAUAUGGGAAAUUAUUUUAUAAGAGAAGCUUGAACAGACACCGACGGGCGUUUAUUCGCUCCGGUAUUCCAUAUCCUGUAAAGAGGGUAUUGCAUACUUGAAGUUUCACUAGCCGAGUACUAUUAAAGAUGACUGAUAUAUAAGAUAGCUAAGCUGCGCUCCCGAGUUUUUUUUUUUUCUAAGUCAGAUUAUAUCACCUUGUGUAUAUUGAAUUUUUUUCGUGUGUGCAAUAUAUAUUUCUUUCAGCAACGCAAGAUUUGUCUUCGAGCCCUGAGUGCACAACACCGAUAUUAGAGAUCCCACUCUUGGCAACUCGGGAAAAACUUCGCGCUGUUCCCUUAAAGUAUGCACCAAGCCAUCAUAGAGACGGUGCGGAACAUGCGAUUUUGUUAUGCUGUGUGCUCUGAUGACUUAGUGUAAGUCUUACUCUAAUAUUGAUAGGACCAUAUCCACUAUAGGUGGGUUGGGCUGUCCCGUGCUAUGGUUUGAUUCGAAAGAGCAAUGACUAGAUGGUGACUAGCGCACACACGCCAUCACUACCAGACAUAUCCUCAUGUUAAUAUCAUUGUUAGUUACGCAUGUCUUUAUGUAACCAGACUUACAUUGAAUAAACGUAA